GCCCAGGUGGCGGAAUUGGUAGACGCAGAGGACUUAAAAUCCUCGACCCCUAAAACGGGUAUGUGGGUUCGACUCCCACCUUGGGCACCA
rnacentral:tRNA from 1 species